CCUGCCUCUGGAAGCAUUGCAGAUGUGACUGCUGUGUCACAUGUGUGUCAGUAGGUGGCAGAGAGGAGAGAGGCUAUGUCUACGCUCAGUGUUCUAACCGAUGGGCAUCUGAAUGGUUAUUAGCCUAACGUG
rnacentral:snoRNA from 7 species